GACAGAGGGUGCAAACGUUGUUCGGAAUUACUGGGCGUAAAGCGCGUGUAGGCGGCCCUGUAAGUCGGGUGUGAAAUCCCACGGCUCAACCGUGGAAGUGCAUUCGAAACUACAGGGCUAGAGUUCUGGAGAGGGUGACGGAAUUCCCCAAGUAGAGGUGAAAUUCGUAGAUAUGGGGAGGAACACCGGUGGCGAAGGCGGUCACCUGGACGGAUACUGACGCUGAGACGCGAAAGCGUGGGGAGCAAACAGG
rnacentral:rRNA from 1 species